rnacentral:rRNA from 1 species
UACGUAGGGGCCGAGCGUUUGUCCGGGAGUUUAUUGGGCGUAAAGCGCGCGCAGGCGGCUUGGCGCGCCCGCACGUGAAAAGCCCCCCGGGCUUAACCGGGGAGGAGUCGGUCGGGGACGGCCGGGGCUUGAGGGGCGGGAGAGGGUCGGUGGAAUUCCCGGUGUAGUGGUGAAAUGCGUAGAGAGUCGGGAGGAACAGCCUGUAGGCGGAAGGCCGGCCGACCGUACGGGCCGA